AGGUGAGGGAGAAAGGGAUAGCCAGCGCGAAGGAAGUGCUAGAGUCGUGUGUUUUGGCUGCGCGUGAUCCUGCGUGGGUCGGGAGAUGUUUCUGUGUAGGUGUCUGGCCCUUUCAUCAGUCGUGCGGAGUACCGCGUGAUUUCCUUCCAGUUCUCGGUUUUCGGGAAGAGCCUAAAGAUUAGACUGUAAGAAAAGAAAAUAGAAGCAGCCAUGUUUCGAAGACCUGUAUUACAGGUAGUCGCUUGUCUGUAUUAGUACUGAGAUGUAUUACUAUCAGCCACAGUGAUCAGAAGACUUCUUUAGGCUUUUAACUACAGGGGCAAAAGACCUUUGAGCUCACCCACCCACCUCUGUACUCAUUUGAUAUGGAGGAUUGGGGACGAUUUUGCCAGUGUAAAUUAUGUUCACUAAAAAAAAAAGUUCAGGUUUAUUCACACAUGUGAUAGGAGUCAUUAAUUUUUAAAACGUGUGUGUGUUGCUUGAAUUUAACCAGUGAGAGGACAUUAAAGGUCUUUAGUGACCUAAAGACUGUAGGAAUCAUUGUUCCAACUUUUUUCUUAAGGCAUGUGGUUGCUUUUUUGACCAUCUCCCUCUUGUGUUGCUAAACGUUCUUCUUCCCCCAUCUUUCCACACUGAAGAGAGCAGCUCAAGUCUCAAUGGUCACCAUAGAUUUCACUAUGUAGAAAAUGCCUUCUCAUUCCACUUAGUAUGGCUCCUCACUUUUCCAGUCACUCUAGCCCACCUUGAGCCAGCUUAGACUACCAUUUUGCCUUACUUACCACCUUCGGGCACCAACUCCU
rnacentral:sRNA from 1 species